rnacentral:sRNA from 1 species
GCGAGUUUACAACUCCCAAACCCCUGUGAACAUACCAAUUGUUGCCUCGGCGGAUCAGCCCGCUCCCGCUAAAACGGGACGGCCCGCCAGAGGACCCCUAAACUCUGUUUCUAUAUGUAACUUCUGAGUAAAACCGUAAAUAAAUCAAAACUUUCAACAACGGAUCUCUUGGUUCUGGCAUCGAUGAAGAACGCAGCAAAAUACGAUAAGUAAUGUGAAUUGCAGAAUUCAGUGAAUCAUCGAAUCUUUGAACGCACAUUGCGCCCGCCAGUAUUCUGGCGGGCAUGCCUGUUCGAGCGUCAUUUCAACCCUCAAGCCCCCGGGUUUGGUGUUGGGGAUCGGCGAGCCUCACGGCAAGCCGGCCCCGAAAUACAGUGGCGGUCUCGCUGCAGCUUCCAUUGCGUAGUAGUAAAACCCUCGCAACUGGUACGCGGCGCGGCCAAGCCGUUAAACCCCCAACUUCUGAAUGUUGACCUCGGAUCAGGUAGGAAUACCCGCUGAACUUAAGCAUAUCAAUAAGCGGAGGA